AUUCCAGCUCCAAUAGCGUAUAUUAAAGUUGUUGCAGUUAAAACGCUCGUAGUCGGAUUUCGGGGCGGGCCGACCGGUCUGCCGAUGGGUAUGCACUGGCCGGCGCGUCCUUCCACCCGGAGACCGCGCCUACUCUUAACUGAGCGGGCGCGGGAGACGGGUCUUUUACUUUGAAAAAAUCAGAGUGUUUCAAGCAGGCAGUCGCUCUUGCAUGGAUUAGCAUGGGAUAAUGAAAUAGGACUCCGGUCUUAUUUUGUUGGUUUCCGAGACUGGAGUAAUGAUUAAGAGGGACAGUCGGGGGCAUCCGUAUUUCAUUGUCAGAGGUGAAAUUCUUGGAUUUAUGAAAGACGAACUUCUGCGAAAGCAUUUGCCAAGGAUGUUUUCAUCG
rnacentral:rRNA from 1 species